UACGUAGGGCGCAAGCGUUAUCCGGAAUUAUUGGGCGUAAAGAGCUCGUAGGCGGUUUGUCGCGUCUGUCGUGAAAGCUCGGGGCUUAACCCCAAGUCUGCGGUGGAUACGGGCAGACUAGAGGCAGGUAGGGGAGAACGGAAUUCCCGGUGUAGCGGUGAAAUGCGCAGAUAUCGGGAGGAACACCGGUGGCGAAGGCGGUUCUCUGGGCCUGUACUGACGCUGAGGAGCGAAAGCGUGGGGAGCGAACAGG
rnacentral:rRNA from 1 species